GCGGGUCCAUUUGGUGAACGAACGGUGAUUGGUGUUGAAGGGACAGUGGCGACAGCAUUCUCUGUUUCUCGGCAACUCUGUUUUCUUCUUUUUUUUUUUUUUUAAUUUUAAAAAUAAAAACAGUAGGCAACAAAGAUUUUGAAAGGACAAGGGUAUUGGUUUGAAGGCUUGCAAGUUUGCGGAAGCUAAAGAAAUUUGGAUUAAUUUUGGGCUCUGAUACCAAAAUUGAAGCAGAACAAAGAAGAAC
rnacentral:misc_RNA from 1 species